GCAUACUCCCAGGAGAGCAUUUUGAAGUGUUCAUGUUGAAGUGUCGUGGGAGGGCAGGCGGAAGUUCCUAGUGUAGCGGGGGAAAUGCGUAGAUAUUAGGAGGGAACACCACUGGCGAAGGCGGCCUGCUGGACGAUGACUGACGUUGAGGCUCGAAAGCGUGGGGAGCAAACAGGAUUAGAUACCCUGGUAGUCCACGCCGUAAACGAUGAUAAUAGGUGUCGGGUGGCAAAGCCAUUCGGUGCCGCAGCCAACGCAAAUAAGUAGUCCACCUGGGGAGUACGUUCGCAAGAAUGAAACUCAAAGGAAUUGACGGGGACCCGCACAAGCGGUGGAGCAUGUGGUUUAAUUUGAAGCAACGCGAAGAACCUUACCUGAUCUUGACAUCCCCCCGACAGCUUCGUAAUGGGAGUUUUCCUUCGGGACAGGGGAGACGGGUGGUGCAUGGUUGUUGUCAGCUCGUGUCGUGAGAUGUUGGGUUAAGUCCCGCAACGAGCGCAACCCUUAUUUUCAGUAGCCAGCAUUAAGGAUGGGCACUCUGGAGAGUGUGCCAGGGACAACCUGGAGGAAGGUGGGGAGGACGUCAAAUCAUCAUGCCCCUUAUGACCUGGGGUACACACGUGCUACAAUGGCGUAAACAAAGGGAAGGGAACACGUGAGUGCAAGCGAAUCCCAAAAAUAACGUCUCAGUUCGGAUUGUAGUCUGCAACUCGACUACAUGAAGCUGGAAUCGCUAGUAAUCGCGAAUCAGAAUGUCGCGGGGAAUACGUUCCCGGGUCUUGUACACACCCCCCGUCA
rnacentral:rRNA from 1 species